rnacentral:rRNA from 1 species
GACGAACGCUGGCGGCGUGCCUAAUACAUGCAAGUCGAGCGAAGUUUUUCUGCUUCUUGCACUAGCACAACUUAGCGGCGAACGGGUGAGUCACACGUAAAGAGCCUUCCUCAUAGACUGGGCCACCUAUUGGAAACGAUAACUAAUACCGGAUAACAGCAUUAACUGCAUGGUUGAUGUUUAAAAGUUGGUUUUGCUAACACUUUGCGAUUGCUUUGCGGUGCAUUAGCUAGUUGGUGGGGUAAAGGCCUACCAAGGCGACGAUGCAUAGCCGACCUGAGAGGGUGAUCGGCCACACUGGAACUGAGACACGGCCCAGACUCCUAAGGGAGGCAGCAGUAGGGAAUCUUACGCAAUGGGCGAAAGCCUGACGGAGCAACGCCGCGUGAGUGAAGAAGGAUUUCGGUUCGUAAAGCUCUGUUGUUAGGGAAGAAUGAGUGUGUAGUAACAAUACACAGUAGAGACGGUACCUAACCAGAAAGCCACGGCUAACUACGUG